CAGCUGUGUGGCGAGCACAGAGCGAACUAUUCUUUCGCCUUUUACUAAAGAAUACCGUGCUGUCUCAAAAAAAAUGUUUCUUGCCAAACAAAAAACUUGACUCUUUUUGAAUUUUGUUACUUUUUUUUUUGAAU
rnacentral:snRNA from 1 species